rnacentral:rRNA from 1 species
UGGGGGAUAUUGCACAAUGGGCGAAAGCCUGAUGCAGCGACGCCGCGUGGGGGAUGAAGGCCUUCGGGUUGUAAACUUCUUUUGCUCUGAACAAGGCAUGCUAAUGGGUGUGUUGAGUGUAGGGGUUGAUUAGCGCCGGCUAACUACGUGCCAGCAGCCGCGGUAAUCCGUAGGGCGCGAGCGUUGUCCGGAAUUAUUGGGCGUAAAGGGCUUGUAGGUGGCUGGUUGCGUCUGUCGUGAAAGCUCAUGGCUUAACUGUGGGUUUGCGGUGGGUACGGGCUGGCUUGAGUGCAGUAGGGGAGGCUGGAAUUCCUGGUGUAGCGGUGGAAUGCGCAGAUAUCAGGAGGAAUACCGGUGGCGAAGGCGGGUCUCUGGGCUGUUACUGACACUGAGGAGCGAAAGCAUGGGGAGCGAACAGG